GCACAAGAUGUUCUAAGAUAAUCUUGUGUUUUCUCUGCCCCAGCCCUGAAAUGAGUGAUUUUUUUUGGAAUCAGAGGUGGAGCCACUGAGGAAGUAUAGGCGAGCCCUCCCCAGCAUGUGCUCACUGGUCCUCAACAGAAGAACAGCUGCUGCAUCCACUGAGGUACCAAGAAACUAGCAAAGGGCCUUCUGGCUGCGAUGUCACUGUUGCUGAGCCCCCAUCGCCUCUGUGUUGUGGAGCAGUUAGAGGCACACAGCAGAGUCCGUGAGUGGCUCUGCGUGAAGGACUGUUUUCUAUCUGAGAAGCACAUCUCAGCACAGCUGACUCAUCAGACUCAGCAAUUCCAUUCUGAGUCUCCUCUGGACACCCCCAGGACCACCAGGACAACCCCAUCAGGGCCCUGUCACCAGGCCCAGUCUGGCUCCAUGAUAACCAAGACGCAGGUCCAGAGACAAGCGCCCUGCAUGGUGCCUGCAUGUGACUCCCCUUGGUGGGUAGUGACCAGCUCACCAUGGAAGAAGCCAGGGCAGCAUGCGGCCAUCUGCCCUGCAGCCCCAGAUGACUCCUGGGCCUUAAGAAGUCAUUCUUAAAGGGAAAGCUGGUCACUUUGAGGUCCCUGGAAGGAAGGGUGAAUGUGUCAUCCCAACAGCCCUGGCAGCCAGCAGCAUGCCAUCCAUCUUCUCACCCGAUCUUUGUGACAGAGGCCACCUUCUGGGGCACAAGUCCCAUACCUAAAGGGUCCUAUCUCAGUCGGCCUCAUCCUGAGCCCUGGGAUGGGAGAGGCACCAUGCACCCCC
rnacentral:lncRNA from 1 species